UUGUUAAAGGAGAAUGGCAGAUUUCGUACCGCAUAUUUUUGUCGUUGUUCAGUUAUAGAAUUUGUACCAAUUAUUAAGGCAACUAAGCCAUUUAUUUUCAUGUUAGUGUAGUAUUUUUAGAACUCCGGAUUAAUUAAUUAUACCAAUUAAAAGAUUCAAGUAAUUAAACGUAAUAUAAUCUUAAACUAAACGCAACUAAACGUAGUUCUGUUUUUAGAAGUUGCCAUUUGUAAAAUAUCACGAGGCUCGAAAUGAUAAAUAAUUAUUUAAACAUAGAAAUAACAGUAAAUAUAAUUAACCAAUUACAUAUUAUACCUUAAAAUGAAUAAUUAUUGCAUACUAUCUUAAUAAUUAACAAUUUAAAUAUAUAAAUUAUUUUCACCAUCAAUGUUUUUAUUUUGUAUUGGCAAUUAUUUUAUUGACAGGUAACGGAUAUCUUUCAGAGUCUAGUCUCUGUCUGUCAGUGUCUGUUCAGUUCUUUGCUGUUGUUUUGGAUUGUGGUUUGUAACUGCAUCUGAGCAAUUUAAGCAAAUUAUCUGGUCAUUUUUACGUUGAGUCGAGGAACUGCUCCUCCGUACUCUAUCUGUUGAUAGUACUUUCGCGAAAGGACGCUUUAUUACUUGUGUUGUGUGUGUGUACGUGCUUUAAAAAUGACGAGUUUGAAAUGCAUCAAUUGCAACGUUCGCUUGUCGCGAAUACGAAGGCACGCUUUAUCCGAUGAGAGUAAAGAUAUCAUCAAUACUCUUCGGCUGUGGACAUAUCCUAGAGAUAUAACACCUGCUGACCAUGUUUGCCGCACGGAACAAAUAUUUGAAUGAUCUGCAAGUAGUUGUUCUGGGUCUGGGUAUUUCUGCACAUGAGUUUCUAUGUUGAUGAAAUAAUACUAAGAAUAGAUUAAAUAAUUAUAAGAACAAUAAAAUAGAUGUAUAUUCCUACAAAAACAAA
rnacentral:lncRNA from 1 species